rnacentral:rRNA from 1 species
CCUACGGGUGGCAGCAGUGAGGAAUAUUGGUCAAUGGGCGUAAGCCUGAACCAGCCAAGUCGCGUGAGGGAUGAAGGUUCUAUGGAUCGUAAACCUCUUUUAUAAGGGAAUAAAGUGCGGGACGUGUCCCGUUUUGUAUGUACCUUAUGAAUAAGGAUCGGCUAAAUCCGUGCCAGCAGCCGCGGUAAUACGGAGGAUCCGAGCGUUAUCCGGAUUUAUUGGGUUUAAAGGGUGCGUAGGCGGCCUUUUAAGUCAGCGGGGAAAGUCUGUGGCUCAACCAUGGAAUUGCCGUUGAAACUGGGAGGCUUGAGUAUGUUUGAGGCAGGCGGAAUGCGUGGUGUAGCGGUGAAAUGCUUAGAUAUCACGCAGAACCCCGAUUGCGAAGGCAGCCUGCCAGGCCAUGACUGACGCUGAUGCACGAAAGCGUGGGGAUCAAACAGGAUUAGCUACCCGUGUAGUC